rnacentral:lncRNA from 1 species
AUGUAAUUAUCUGUGGACAAUGCUGAUUCACACCACAUAAUAUUUUGCGCUUCCUGUCGUUUUUGGCCCUUCGCUGCCUUCUAAAGAUUUCUGAUCAAUAGUGUAGCUCAAUGAUUACUGUUGUAUCCUCUCUUUUGUGCAAUGCAGUAACUCCUACGCUGCUCACAAUAAAAGGCUUUCCUUGUGUUUGUUUUAAUAUGAAUCAAUUUUCUCCAUUUGCAGAUGAUGAGGAUUCAGUCCAGAAAAGUGUGCGAGGUGGACUUCCUGGCACAGCUGUGGACAAGACCAUAGGUUAUGAUGAAACUCAAAUGGUAAACAAGUUUAUUUAAGUAUACUGCACAAUAUUCUAUUAAUAAAAUGGCAACAUAAAACUGAUAAUAUUAAGAA